UACGUAGGGUGCGAGCGUUGUCCGGAAUUAUUGGGCGUAAAGAGCUCGUAGGCGGCCUGUCGCGUCGGAUGUGAAAGCCCGGGGCUCAACUCCGGAUCUGCGGUGGGUACGGGCAGACUAGAGUGAUGUAGGGGAGACUGGAAUUCCUGGUGUAGCGGUGAAAUGCGCAGAUAUCAGGAGGAACACCGGUGGCGAAGGCGGGUCUCUGGGCCGAUAUUGACGUGAGGAGCGAAAGCGUGGGGAGCAAACAGG
rnacentral:rRNA from 1 species